rnacentral:rRNA from 1 species
AACGAACGCUGGCGGCAGGCCUAACACAUGCAAGUCGAACGCCCCGCAAGGGGAGGUGGCAGACGGGUGAGUAACGCGUGGGAACGUACCCUUCGGUUCGGAAUAACCCGGGGAAACUCGGGCUAAUACCGGAUCCGUCCGCAAGGAGAAAGAUUUAUCGCCGAAGGAUCGGCCCGCGUCGGAUUAGCUAGUUGGUGGGGUAAUGGCCCACCAAGGCGACGAUCCGUAGCUGGUCUGAGAGGAUGAUCAGCCACACUGGGACUGAGACACGGCCCAGACUCCUACGGGAGGCAGCAGGUGGGGAAUAUUGGACAAUGGGCGAAAGCCUGAUCCAGCCAUGCCGCGUGAGUGAAGAA